rnacentral:rRNA from 1 species
UGGAGGGCAAGUCUGGUGCCAGCAGCCGCGGUAAUUCCAGCUCCAAUAGCGUAUAUUAAAGUUGUUGCAGUUAAAAAGCUCGUAGUUGAAUUUCGGGAUUAGUAGAUUGGUCAUGCCUCUGGUAUGUACUGGUCUCACUGGUUCCUCCUUCCUGAUGAACCGUAAUGCCAUUAAUUUGGUGUUGCGGGGAGACUGGACUGUUACUUUGAAAAAAUUAGAGUGUUUAAAGCAGGC